rnacentral:rRNA from 1 species
UACGUAGGGGGCAAGCGUUGUCCGGAAUCAUUGGGCGUAAAGCGCGUGUAGGCGGCCAGAAAAGUCCGCUGUGAAAACUCGAGGCUCAACUUCGAGCUGUCGGUGGAAACUUUCUGGCUAGAGUCCGGAAGAGGAGAAUGGAAUUCCUGGUGUAGCGGUGAAAUGCGCAGAUAUCAGGAAGAACACCCGUGGCGAAGGCGGUUCUCUGGGACGGUACUGACGCUCAUGCACGAAAGCGUGGGGAGCAAACAGG